rnacentral:rRNA from 1 species
AACGAACGCUGGCGGCAUGCCUAACACAUGCAAGUCGAACGAGACCUUCGGGUCUAUUCGCGCACGGGUUCGUAACGCGUGGGAACCUUCCCUUAGGUUCGGAAUAACUCUCCGACAGGGGUGCUAAUACCGGAUAAUGUCUUCUGACCAAUGAUUUAUCGCCCUUGGAUGGGCCCGCGUUGGAUUAGCUCUUUGUUAGGGUAAUAGCCUAACAAGGCGACGAUCCGUAGCUGGUUAGAGAGACUGAUCAGCCACACUGGGACUGAGACACGGCCCAGACUCCUACGGGAGGCAGGAGUGGGGAAUAUUGGAAAAUGGGCGAAAUGAUGAACCAGCUAGGCCGGGUGAGUGAUGAAGGCCGUAGGGUUGUAAAGCGCUUUUACCCGGGAUGGUAAUGACAGUACCGGGAGAAUAAGCUCCGGCUAACUACGUG